AUUGAACGCUGGCGGCAGGCCUAACACAUGCAAGUCGAGCGGAGCGGCGGACGGGUGAGUAAUGCCUACGAAUCUGCCUGGCAGUGGGGGAUAACGUCCGGAAACGGGCGCUAAUAUCGCAUACUAUCAGAUGAGCCUAGGUCGGAUUAGUGAGUUGGUUGGGUAAAGGCCUACCAAGGCGAAGAUCCGUAACUGGUCGGAGAGGCUGAUCAGUCAAACUGGACCUCGGAUACGGUCCAGACUCCUACGGAAGGCAGCAGUGGGGAAUAGUGGACAAUGGGUGAAGGCAUGAUGCAGCCAGGCCGCAUGUGUGAAGAAGGUCUUGGGAAUGUAAAGCACUUUAAGUUGGGAGACGUUACCAACAGAAUAAGCACCGGCUAACUUCGUGCCAGCAGCCGCGGUAAUUC
rnacentral:rRNA from 1 species